UCCUAUCCUUUUCCCUCCAUCUCCCCUCAGAUGCUGGGCCUUUUCUUCUCCCCGACUCCCACCUCAACUCUCAUCAAAACUUACCUGCCACUUUCCCAGUCAGCCAGGUUCAGGUCUUUCCUGCAGUGUUUUGAGGACAAUGCGAAAGGUAGCUACAUUCAUGACUCACAAGAAAGCCUGUGAAAGUCCUCUCUUCUCAUCUCUCUAGGUAUGAUCUGCACAAGGCACCUGCUCCAAAUUGCCCCUUCUCCCACACUAAUCCCCACAAAGCCCUCACAGAGCAACGUCCGUCCCCAAGUCUUCUUGGGUCUCUUUCCCCUCCUUAGCCAUGACUUCUUUGAAAUCCCAAGCUCUUCUCUUAUCUGGAUUUGACACAACAAAGAAACUCAGAAAGCGACUCUACACCUUAGAGAUUGCAAACACUUCCCAUAUUCAACCCCUUAUCUCCCUUUUUUCUUUCACAUUCAAAGGCACUCAUCCAUGCAUCCCUCAAAAUUGCCUGUAAGGGUUCCACUUAAAUGCAAAGCUCUACGGGGCGGGCUAAAAGGGCGUUACGGUAAUCAUUACUGCUUUUAGAGAAUUACAAAUUAAUUGGAGAAAAAAAUUCCAAUAGGAUGUUUGGGCUUUGUAGAAUGUCUGUGCCUGGCACGUAGCGGAUGCUUGGGAAACAUCCGUCUACUGGUGUAGGAAGUAGCAUUGGCACCGGGAAAUCGUCCCUAAUGAGCUCGCCAAGCAUUAUAUGGGCGCCCGCGGUGUGCCAGGCCGACUCCGCGCACAGUGGUGGUAGGCUCAAGGGGCAUUCCGAGGACCCGGCAUCACAGGGAGGCUGCGAUCCUGCUUCCACGGCCUUGUCGGCUCCUUCAUCUUAGUGAUGACAAACGUGCACGAUCGCAGGCAGGCGCGGAUCGGCGGGGAAGGGCCCGCCUCCCGGGGCAGGGGGCUCGCCCAGGGGACCACGCCGCUCCAGGACGGCGGGGGCCAGCCCGGGAGGACGAGCCCGCCCGCGGAGCCGCAGAGCAGCCCAGCAGCUGGCGCUCGGGCGCGCUCGGGAUCCCUGCUCAUAAUUUAAGUCAGAAACUCGGAUUAUGUUGAAGAAAGUCACGUGAGAUGGUCACGGGGGCUGACAUCAGUGCACAAUGGGGCGUGAACAUUGUUGGCAGAGACCAUAAAAAGGAUGGUGGCCUUAUUGGGAUGGAUCCUAUUAUCUCUUAACAGCUGCCCGGGAGGUUGCUGUGGCAUCAUCUCUGCUCUCUUCCUUUAUGUCAUCAGGAAGGUCAUGGAGGAAACAAGUUCGUGUCACGCGCUGUGUCCUUGGGAACGCCCGGUACUCAUCAGAAAGGCCCAGUCCUUCACCCUGCACCAUGAGUGACACCAAAGCACAGACAGGAGUCAGAGGAAAUGAGGAAAACGGUCCUUGGCACCUUUUAAAGACACAGGCAUGAAGCAUUUUCACAAUCUGAUACAAUGAACUUUCCAAGCCCGUUGAACCCCCCUGGAUGCUUCCACUCUCUAUGACUGCCACGUUUUGAUAUGACUGCCACAGUUUUGACUGAGUGAAGCUUUCAGCCUUCUUUAGCUCUGUACUUUGACAACUGCGAAUUAUGGAAAAGCAUUUUCAUUGUAUAAUUAAUGGAGAAUAAAAGUAGAUUAUAAAAAUGUGCAUAUUAUAAUUCCAAUUUGAUUAAAAAGACUACUGAAGGAAUGAAGAAUUAUAUUCCUCUGCAAUGAUAAAGAGCAAAAGAUUAAUUAGAAUUUUUUCCUCAAUGGUGCAAUUAUGAGUGAUUGAAGUUUUCUUCCUCAUCCUUUUCUGUGUUUUGCAAAUUUUCGAAAAUGACUUGUGUAUUGUCAUCAGAAAUAGUGUGAAAAAACUUUAUGUUAAGCCCCAGAUUUGGGCUUUUGAUUUGCAAGAUAUCAGCAAGUAAUUUGGAAUGGUUCCCAUCUCUAACCACCUUGAGCCCUAAGGCAAUGAGAGUCAUUAUUUAUCAUCCAUCAUUCAUUCAUUCCGUUACAUCUACAACAAACAUUUUUUAUUCAGUUACUAGGUGCUAGGCUCUGUGUUAGAUGUUGGAUAUAAAGAUGAACAAAACAGCCAUCCCUUUCCUUUGGAAAGACCCCUCUAUAAUUAGUUAUCUGGGUCCGUUCACUGAGUUGAAUGGGUCAGUCAAGGGGAGUGCUUAAGAUUUCAGCCAGGAAGUAGGCCUUGAAAGAGAAGGAGAAUUGUACUGCUCUUGGUUCUCAAAGGUGAACCCAUUCCAAUGACAAAUGUCAUUCUGCGUGAUCAUACGGUGCUUCCAUCAGUUACUGCAAAAACAACGAAGAGCCUUUAGAGCGCUUUAGGGCCUUGGAAACUGCUGUUCUAUCAGUGUGCUUGCUGACUCUGUUCUUCCAGAGAGUUUGUAAAGUUAAUGUUUACUUUAUGAUAAUUGUAGAUUCCUACGCAGUUGUGAGAAAUAAAACAAAGAGGUUCCAUGUGCCCCUGAUCCAAUUUCUCCUAAUGGUACCAUCUUGCAGAACUAUAGUACAGAUCACACAUUUUGGAGAGUUUAUUUUUUUUAAAGAUUUUAUUUAUUUAUUUGACCGAUGUGGGGCUCGAUCCCAGGACCCUGGGACCAUGACCUGAGCCGAAGGCAGCCGCUUAACGACUGAGCCACCCAGGCGCCCCUUGGAGAGUUUAAUAGUAGAAAAAGGGAAAAGAGACAGCAUGGAGUCCUCAUCAAACUUUGAACAUAGCAGUCAACGCUCCCUUUCUUAGCAGGAUUCUGCAACACUGGCCCUUUCUCUCACACUGUUUAAUAAAGGCCUCCCUCAAGAUAGGUUUCUCUUUACAUCUUAAAAUAUUUAACUAUUUCUUUAAAGGGUGAUGCGGCAAUCACCCUAAAUCUGGAUUAUUUUCUUGGAUGAAGUUAACAUAUAAAUGUGAAAGAACAUCAGGUUGUGGGGACUCCGGACAGAAUAACUUCACCUGUAAACAUUAAGUCUGUUUGUAGGAAGAAAACUGACGGAAGGAACAUUCCUGAAGGGGCUCAUCCAGCUGUGCACAGUCUCAAAGGAGCCCUGACAGUGGCAACCAGAAGUGAAUGCCGUCUCCAGUGACAACCAGCGAUGGGCCACACCAAGGAGGCUUCUCUUUCUUCUGCAAGAAGACGAACAGCCACACUCAGAAACUCUAUAAAGAGUUCAGUUCAAGGGAAAAGUCUUGGAGGGGAAGAGAGGGAAAGUGUUUCCAGGAGGAGCCCAAGCCACCUCCCAAUUCAGAAGGAAGUAAAGGAGCUCCCUGGGUCUUUCAGAUCGAUGGAAAAGCAAGUAAGGCAGGAGGCCACGUGGAUGUUUACCUGAAGUUUAUCCUUAAAGGCACAGUGCUUCCUUGUUCUCAUACAUGAAUUCCUUUAAUAAAUAGUACUGAGCACUUGCUAUCUGUCCAUCCCUCACUGUUGAGCUGGCAGAGAGAUGAGAAUUUUUUUUAAAGAUUUUAUUUAUUUAUUUGAGAGAGAGAAAGUGAGAAAAGGAGAGCGAGAAUACGCACAAGCCAGAGGAGGGGCAGAGAAGCAGACCCCCGCUGAGCAGGGAGCCUGAAGCAGGACUCAAUCCCAGAACCCUGGGAUCAUGACCUGAACCUAAGGCAGAUGCUGAACAGACUGAGCCACCCAGGGGCCCCAGAGAGAUGGGAGUUAAGAGUGACUUUUAAAUAUGAGAUGCUUGAGGCAAAGAUGAGAGGAAAAAAAGUGUCCCUAUAAGGAAAUAGAUUUCUCAUAUUUUACUCUCCUGAUCGCCUAGUGUCAGGAAAGAGCACCGCACUAUGAAUCAGGAGACUGAGGCUUCGUGGCUGACUAGAUGGGUAGGCCUUGGUUUUCUCAAUUGAGAGUCCUGGUCUAAAUGAUUUUUAAACUUCUUCUCCAGAUCUGUAGUUUGUGGGGUGAUGCGGUUCAGAGACCAUGGGUAACUCUCACUGUGGACUGAAAGGAGAACCCGGUACCGCCUGACACAGGCUAGCCUUCACAGAAGUGGGCUUCCCUCCAUCCCAUCUGGAAUUUUCCAUGAGAUUAAGCAGAGUUCAGUGUAUCACUAAAAAUAAGCUAGGGCUUAGAUGACUUCUCUUCAGUGUCUCCUCUUCAUCCACGUGACUCAUACCGUCUCUCCUUCUAAACCCAGCAGCCUGAGAAUGUGGUGAGUGUGACCUCGUUGCGAAAAGUGCAUGAGCUUAUGAGCUCUGAUGCCCAGGUUUACCACUUAUCAUAUGUAAUGGGCUGAAUUGUGUCCCCUGUCAUCAAAUUUAUAUGUUGAAGCCCUAACCCCAGUACCUCAGUGUACAACCCUAUUUGAGAAUAAGGCCAUUGCAGAUCUAAUUAGAGGUAAGAUGAAGUUGUGCUGGACCAGCGUGGGCCCCGAAACCAAUGCACUGCUAUCCUUAUAAGUAGGGGGGAUUUGAAUACAUACGGGCACACGAGGGGAAGGCCAUGUGAAGAUGGGGUGUUGUGUUACCACAAGCCAAGGAACCCACCAGAAGCUGAGAGAGAGUCCUGGAAUAGACUCUUACCUACUAUUUUUAGAGGGAGCCUGGCCCUGUCAGCACCCCGACCUCCAACUUCCAGCCUCCAGAACUGGGAGAGAAUCAAUGCCUAUUGGUUCAAGUCAUUCCGUUUGUGGUACGUUGUGUGAAAGCAGUCAAAUGAGGAGGAGGCCAUUGGUCUGAGGUGGUUCUAAUGCGCUCGUCGUCUACAUAAGCAAACCAAAACCUAAGCCAGCGUGAACUCAUGGAAGAGGAUGCAACCACAGAAGCUAGAGCCAAUCAAAUAGUUUCCUUGCUUUGCUUCCCCACUCUCUGAGGAA